GUCUCAUUGAAGUGAACCUGAUGGAUGUAGGUUUCUAGGUGUGCAUUGCUUACAGUUAAUUUUUCAAAUGCAUUCAUGUGGUUUUGUAUCUGGGUUAUAAAAGGAUUUUGCAAUGGUAGCAGGAUUUGAAGAGUCCCAUUAGUACCUGAGGCCUGAACUCUUCGAAUCUGCAUCCAAUAGGAAGAAAGCAAACCACCUCCCAUCACUAUGCAUUACAUCUCUCCUGGGAGAUGAUAGCUGUGUUGACAGCUCUUGAGUCCAUCUGGGAUAAGGAACAUGCAACUUAUCCUGGCCUGUCAGGUCAUUCAGAAAAAUGCUCUUCUGGCAGCUGUUCAGCAAGCCUCCCUUUGUUACUUGGUCCAGCCUCCCCAUACCCUGGACAUCAAGGCCUCCAGAAGCUUUCAUUUAUAUUCAGCUGGAGAAACGGGGACCUCGAGAAUAGGAUGCUGGACUUGUUCAGUCAAACGAGAGAAGCACUGGGCAGCAGCUGCAAAACCCUGUAAGUAUGUCAGGAGGCCUCUCAGCGUUUUUGAGAGGAACUGUUGGGUUUUGGCUGAAUCAGCGUGUGUCCCAGCAUGCCCUGAGAGGUCAGCUCAUUGGGUACUACAAUAG
rnacentral:lncRNA from 1 species